rnacentral:rRNA from 1 species
AUUGAACGCUGGCGGCAGGCCUAACACAUGCAAGUCGAGCGGAGCGGCGGACGGGAGAGUAAUGCCUAGGAAUCUGCCUGGUAGUGGGGGAUAACGUCCGGCAAAGGGCGCUAAUACCGCAUACUAUCAGAUGAGCCUAGGUCGGAUUAGCUAGUUGGUGGGGUAAAGGCCUAACAAGGCGACGAUCCGUAACUGGGCUGAGAGGAUGAUCAGUAACACUGGAACUGAGACACGUUCCAGAAUCCUACGGGAGGCAGCAGUGGGGAAUAGUGGACAAUGGGCGCAAGCCUGAUCCAGCCAUGCCGCGUGUGUGAAGAAGGUCUGCGGAUUGUAAAGGACUUUUAGUUGGGAGGCGUUACCGACAGAAUAAGCACCGGCUAACUUCGUGCCAGAAGCCGCGGUAAUUC